UUAAUUUUCUAUUUUCCCUCACUGACCAUCGGCACACAAGGAUUUCAUGGUCGUGUAAGCGUAAUCUAGUAUCUCAGUCUGGUAAUCAUCACUUAAGGUACGGAUUCCUCCCCACAUAUGUGUACGGAUUUAGAUUUCCACUACCUCGUAGUUGAAAAUUUAGAUUCGUUAUUCAAAUAUUCAAUUAUGAUGCACUGAACUACUGAUUGUGUCGCACCGAAAGGUGACGCACUGAAAAACUGAAUGUGAACUACUGAAUGUGAUUAUGUGACGCAGUGAAUGUGAACUGAAUACGCAUUGAACUACUGAAUGUGACGCACUGAAGGUGACUAACUGAAUGUGUUAUAUAUAUUGUUUGAUAGAUAUUAUUAAGAAAAUAUAUAUUGCGUUGUUGUUGUCCCACUGAGUAAACCCCGUUUACUCAGGCGUACAUUUGCCUUCUUAUGUACGUUAGGUUGCAAGGAUUGUCGGGAAGACUUGGAUGGAUGGUUCGAGGGAUUAAAGACGCACAUGGAUUUUUUUUAAAAGUUUAAAUUGUUUUAUAUAAUAUUUCGAAUUUUUGAAAUAAUGUAAAAGUUUUAUAAUUUAUGGAAUGAUGUUCU
rnacentral:lncRNA from 1 species